rnacentral:rRNA from 1 species
AGUGAACGCUGGCGGUAGGCCUGACACAUGCAAGUCGAACGGCAGCACAGUAAGAGCUUGCUCUUACGGGUGGCGAGUGGCGGACGGGUGAGGAAUACAUCGGAAUCUACUUUUUCGUGGGGGAUAACGUAGGGAAACUUACGCUAAUACCGCAUACGACCUACGGGUGAAAGCAGGGGAUCUUCGGACCUUGCGCGAUUGAAUGAGCCGAUGUCGGAUUAGCUAGUUGGCGGGGUAAAGGCCCACCAAGGCGACGAUCCGUAGCUGGUCUGAGAGGAUGAUCAGCCACACUGGAACUGAGACACGGUCCAGACUCCUACGGGAGGCAGCAGUGGGGAAUAUUGGACAAUGGGCGCAAGCCUGAUCCAGCCAUACCGCGUGGGUGAAGAAGGCCUUCGGGUUGUAAAGCCCUUUUGUUGGGAAAGAAAAGCAGCAGGUUAAUACCCCGCUGCUCUGACGGUACCCAAAGAAUAAGCACCGGCUAACUUCGUG